GAUGAAGAACGUAGCGAAAUGCGAUAAGUAAUGUGAAUUGCAGAAUUCAGUGAAUCAUCGAAUCUUUGAACGCACCUUGCGCCUUUUGGUAUUCCGAAAGGCACACCUGUUUGAGCGUCAUGAAUACCUCAAUCUCCAUCUUUUCUUCGGAUUGAUGGGUGACUUGGAUGUUGAGCCCUGCUGGUAUGCUAUAUCAGCUGGCUUUAAACUUAUUAGCCGGCUCUGUACUGGAUCGGUUUGACUCGACGUGAUAAUAUUAUCGUUGAGGAUGCAUGUCUCAUGCAGCCUGAAAGUAUCCAAGCAGCUUCUAGCUUGCCUUUAGUGCACUUUUACAUUUUAGACCUCAGAUCAGGUGGGACUACCCGCUGAACUUAAGCAUAUCAAUAAGCGGAGGA
rnacentral:misc_RNA from 1 species